GUGCUCACUUCAGCAGCACAUAUACUAAAAAUGGAACAAUACAGAGAAGAUUAGCGUGACCUCUGCUCAAGGAUGACAUCCAAAUUUGUGAAGCAAGAAAAAAGAGA